CAGCCUGUUCCACGAUGUCGAAAGAACACGUUCGCACAACUUUUACACGACAAACAGCUGAUUUCCGUUCCACUAAAAUCCAUCAGAACGAAAAUUUGCACGAAAAUCAAAGCGAACGAAAACGUAAGCGUUUCAGUGUAAUUUUGCGUUCCACUAUCUUUUUUCUUUCUUACGCAUGCGAACACAAAUGUCAAAAUCAGUCACUUGUGUGUUUGCUGUCGAAUGAUAAAAAUUAAGGAAAAUUGUUUUAACAUAAACAUUCCUUGAUGGAAAAUGGAAAGAAAAAUCACGAAAAAACUACACAGCUGCGGGCACUAGUUGAGUAUAUGGGGGAGAAUCCUAAGUUCGCCAGAGGAGUGUCAAUUUUUGGAAGCAGCAGGCAAUCCCAUGAAGACCACUGGAAGACACAAACCUAGAAAAAAUCAUUUUUUUAUUAUUUCAAAAAUGUAAAAAUACAAUCAUACUUACUGGUUGUUAGGUACUUCAAAUAAAUUCGAAGCAUCUCUUAAAUGCCUCCGUGGCACAAUUUGAA